GAUGAACGCUGGCGGCGUGCUUAACACAUGCAAGUCGAACGAGAAGUGGAGACGGAAACCUUCGGGCGGAAGACUUUACUUCGAGUGGCGGACGGGUGAGUAACGCGUGGGUAACCUGCCUCAUACAGGGGGAUAACAGUUGGAAACGACUGUUAAUACCGCAUAAGACCACAGCACCGCAUGGUGCGGGGGUAAAAACUCCGGUGGUAUGAGAUGGACCCGCGUUCGAUUAGCCAGUUGGCGGGGUAACGGCCCACCAAAGCGACGAUCGAUAGCCGAUCUGAGAGGAUGACCGGCCACAUUGGGACUGAGACACGGCCCAAACUCCUACGGGAGGCAGCAGUGGGGAAUAUUGCACAAUGGGGGAAACCCUGAUGCAGCGACGCCGCGUGAGUGAAGAAGUAUUUCGGUAUGUAAAGCUCUAUCAGCAGGGAAGAAAAUGACAGUACCUGAGGAAGAAGCCCCGGCUAACUACGUG
rnacentral:rRNA from 1 species